rnacentral:lncRNA from 1 species
ACCAACGUCUGAAAGCCAACUCUUCAAUCAUUUCUCAGAGGGAAGAGCCCUGGGGACAAGGCCAGGGCUAAGAGGGACGAGAGAGCCAGGAAAGUCCAGGCCAAGGGUGCCUCUUGAACCUUGUGGCUGAGGGGAGCAGGCUGUUGGGAUGAUCAGCAGACAUGGAAAGUCCUUCCAGCUCUACCCCUGUGUAUUUCCCAGCGAAUGCUCUCGGAUUUUAGGACUUACCUCCUAAAAUUUUCACUUGGUCUAAAGCAAAAGGCCCCAGGCUUUCUGUCAGGAGCUGCAACUUUUCAUCUGAUGAGGAGGUAAUGAGAUUUGCUGAAUUCUGGCUAUGGGGUUCUGUGUUAAAUACUUUUUUUAAUCUUUUUUUUUUUUGAGACAAACUUCACAUAACAUAAAAUUCACCAUUUUAAUUAUUUUGAAGAGUACAAUUUGGUGGUUUCCAGACCACAAUGUGCAACCAUCAUCACUAUCCAUGUUCAGAAUAUUUCCAGCACAUCAUCUCACAGAAUCCCAUCAACACUACUAUGAGAUGAAGAGAUGGCACAUCAGAGAAAAGUGACAAAGGUGGCAAAGGUGUGGAGUGGUGCGACUGGCAUUUCCAUUCCAGAGUGCAUCACUUCAAACCUUACAUUCCUGAGGCUGUUCGUCGAAGGCUUCUCACUACAUUUCCCUUUGAAUCUGGAAGUCCGGCUUCAAGGUGAAUAAUUCAACAGACUGUGGUACAUCUAUACCAUUAAUUACUAUGCAGCAGUAAAAACAGAGUGGACUAGCCCCUUUGAAGAGGCAGGCCCAUGGGAUGAAUUCUGACCAAUGGAUUUGGCUAAGAUUUAAGAGCCAGUGCACCAUCCUUCAGCUAACUCUUCUCUCCACCUGCUGCAAGGACAUAAACAUUUCAAUGGCACAAAGAUAGAGCACCUUGAAUUGUUACUGCAAAGAAGACAUCUUUUCUGGAGAGUCACCCAAGCAGUGGAUUUGUGAAUAAAUAAAUCUUGUGUUAAGGUUCUGAUAUUUUGUGGUUAAUUUGUGACCAUAGUACUACAUAGCCUAUUCUAAUGAAUAUGUAGUGACUAUCAGAAUCACUAGAGAACAUACAAACAUAAUUCAUAUUAUAGGUCAAAACUUCAGUCUACUAGCUUAAAAUUUUAAGCAUGGAGAGGAUAUCUCUAUGCUUACAAAGCUAAGAUAGUCUAAUAAUUAGCAAAUAUGAAAAACACUGUUAGAUGUCAGCUAGUUCCAUUUAGCCUUUCAAUCUGUUCCAAACUCUACUUUUAUACAUAUAAAAAUCAAAAGAAAGCCAAUAGAUGUGGAAGCUAAGCCUUGGGAAUCCUAAUAUAGCAUGAUGAGGAUUGUGAGUUUGACAAUUAGCUGUGCUAUUUAUUACUGGUGUAACUUU